AUGCUCGCUUUGGCAGCAUAUAUACUAAAAUUGAAACGAAUACAGAGAAAAUAGCAUAGCCCCUGAGCAAGGAUGACACGCAAAUUCGUGAAACGUUCUAUAUUUUA
rnacentral:snRNA from 1 species